rnacentral:rRNA from 1 species
GAUGAACGCUGGCGGCGUGCCUAAUACAUGCAAGUCGAGCGAACGGACGAGACGCUUGCUUCUCUGAUGUUAGCGGCGGACGGGUGAGUAACACGUGGAUAACCUACCUAUGAGACUGGGAUAACUUCGGGAAACCGGAGCUAACACCGGAUAAUAUUUUGAACCGCAUGGUUCAAAAGUGAAAGACGGUCUUGCUGUCACUUAUAGAUGGAUCCGCGCUGCAUUAGCUAGUUGGUAAGGUAACGGCUUACCAAGGCAACGAUGCAUAGCCGACCUGAGAGGGUGAUCGGCCACACUGGAACUGAGACACGGUCCAGACUCCUACGGGAGGCAGCAGUAGGGAAUCUUGCGCAAUGGGCGAAAGCCUGACGGAGCAACGCCGCGUGAGUGAUGAAGGUCUUCGGAUCGUAAAACUCUGUUAUUAGGGAAGAACAUAUGUGUAAGUAACUGUGCACAUCUUGACGGUACCUAAUCAGAAAGCCACGGCUAACUACGUG